GUGCACCAGGCGCGAAUCCUCUGCAAUGUGCGAAAGCAUGACAGGGGCAUUCCAAGUGCUCUUGUUUUACAAGAGCUUUUCUCCGGUCCAAGACGCCGGAGGAAUAAGGGCUGGGUAAGACCGGUGCCAGCCGCCGCGGUAACACCGGCAGCUCGAGUGGUGGCCGCUAUUAUUGGGCCUAAAGCGUUCGUAGCCGGGCAGGCAAGUGUUCUGGUAAAUCCCACAACUUAAUUAUGGGGCUUCAGAAUAUACUGCCUGCCUUGAGACCGGGAGAGGCUGGAGGUACUUUCGGGGUAGGGGUAAAAUCCUAUAAUCCCGAAGGGACCACCGGUGGCGAAGGCGUCCAGCCAGAACGGUCUGACGGUGAGGGACGAAACCCGAGGGGAGCGAGCCGGAUUAGAUACCCCGGUA
rnacentral:rRNA from 1 species